UGGGGAAUUUUGGACAAUGGGCGAAAGCCUGAUCCAGCAAUGCCGCGUGUGUGAAGAAGGCCUUCGGGUUGUAAAGCACUUUUGUCCGGAAAGAAAUCCUUGGCUCUAAUACAGUCGGGGGAUGACGGUACCGGAAGAAUAAGCACCGGCUAACUACGUGCCAGCAGCCGCGGUAAUACGUAGGGUGCAAGCGUUAAUCGGAAUUACUGGGCGUAAGCGUGCGCAGGCGGUUUGCUAAGACCGAUGUGAAAUCCCGGGCUCAACCUGGGAACUGCAUUGGUGACUGGCAGGCUAGAGUAUGGCAGAGGGGGGUAGAAUUCCACGUGUAGCAGUGAAAUGCGUAGAGAUGUGGAGGAAUACCGAUGGCGAAGGCAGCCCCCUGGGCCAAUACUGACGCUCAUGCACGAAAGCGUGGGGAGCAAACAGGAUUAGAUACCCUGGUAGUCCACGCCCUAAACGAUGUCAACUAGUUGUUGGGGAUUCAUUUCCUUAGUAACGUAGCUAACGCGUGAAGUUGACCGCCUGGGGAGUACGGUCGCAAGAUUAAAACUCAAUGAAUUGACGGGGUCAUAGCUGUUUCC
rnacentral:rRNA from 1 species